rnacentral:snoRNA from 1 species
CUGGAGACUAAGAAAAUAGAGUCCUUGAAGUCAAGCUGAUUCUGUUUUUAGCCUCCUAAAUGAAAAGGUAGAUUGAACAGGUCUUGUUUGCAAAAAAAAAAAUUCAAGACCUACUUAUCUACCAACAGCA